GAUGAAGAACGUAGCGAAAUGCGAUAAGUAAUGUGAAUUGCAGAAUUCAGUGAAUCAUCGAAUCUUUGAACGCACCUUGCGCCCUUUGGCCAUUCCGAAGGGCAUGCCUGUUUGAGUAUCGUGAACACCUCAACUCUCAUGGUCUGCCAUGAUGAGCUUGGACUUUGGGGGUCUUGCUGGCCUACUGUCAGCUCCUCUCAAAUGAAUCAGCUUACCAGUGUUUGGUGGCACCACAGGUGUGAUAACUAUCUACGCUUGUGGUUUUCUGCCAGGUAACCUCCAGUGAUGGAGGUUCGCUGGAGCUCACAAAUGUCUCUCCUCAGCGAGGACAGCUUUUUGAACGUUUGAUCUCAAAUCAGGUAGGACUACCCGCUGAACUUAAGCAUAUCAAUAAGCGGAGGA
rnacentral:misc_RNA from 1 species